UAAAUUUUUCCGUUAUACAUUUAAGUGUAUAUAAAUCUGUACAUAUAUCGAGUUUACUCGAUGGUUCGAAUAAAUCCAGAAAGGGGCAAAUCGUAAGACAAACUGCAAGAGAAAAGCCAGCUUUUGCUGGAAUAGAACUACGGAAUUAUGGAUGGAUCGAACUAUGAAAAGGGUUUAAUGGAAAUUGAGAGUAGAAAUCGGUUUACGAACCCUACGACAUUUAUCUUUCCAAUCUCGUGUUACCAGUUAACGUGAUUUAUUUACCAUCUGAUCAAUAUUUGAAGAAGUAGAUUUAAACAGAAAAAAAAUUAUGUAGAAAUACGAAUAAUAUGAAAUGAUUGUUCUAUCAUUAAUAUCGAAAACAUUUUUUCUAAUUUUUUUUUAGAUAUUCUUCGAUUAAAAAUUUCGAUUAAAAUUUGUCAACCCUUUAAUAUACAUUUUCUAAUACGACAUAAUAUGAAAAAUAUUAUUUUCAUGGUAAUGGUUAAUCAGAUUUUAUAAAUGAGAAAAAUAUUAAUAAUAUUUUUCAUUCUGAUUAUCGUUUAUUAUUAAAAUAGAAAACAUAAAUCUUUGUUAUGUUACAUCAUUAAACAAUUCUAAUUUUAAUUCUUAAUCAUCAUUUUAUACACCCUAUAUGUUCGAACUUCUUCAAAAAUUAAAUAACAAAGGGGAACAAAAAUUCGAUGUACCGCGCGUGAUUAUGUAACUCAACUGAUACAAUCGAGUAUCACCAAAAGUAUCGAUUUAUAAAUCGUUCCUGUGCAAAUCCUCCUCCUCCUCCUCCUCCUCCCUCCCCCUCCAAGUGGUGAAAAAUCAUGACGAGUAUGUGACACGAGAAACUACUUAAAUCUUGAAACCCUUCCUUUUUCGGUUUCAAUCGUACGAAAAGCUGUUACAAAACUAACCACUAUACUCGCGAGAGUGCUUGCAAAAUUCUUCCACAUGAAUUCCAAGAACGAAAAUAUAAAAGGAAAAAAAUGAAAAAAAAAAAAAAGAAAGAAAGAAAGUUAAAA